UACGUAGGUGGCGAGCGUUGUCCGGAUUUACUGGGCGUAAAGAGCGCGCAGGCGGUCGUUCAAGUCGCGUGUGAAAGCCCCCGGCUCAACUGGGGAGGGUCACGCGAUACUGAUCGACUCGAAGGCAGGAGAGGGUAGUGGAAUUCUCGGUGUAGCGGUGAAAUGCGUAGAUAUCGAGAGGAACACCUGCGGCGAAGGCGGUUACCUGGAGCUUUGCUGACGCUGAUGCGCGAAAGCGUGGGGAGCGAUCGG
rnacentral:rRNA from 1 species